rnacentral:lncRNA from 1 species
CACCCCUUUCAAAUUUGUUGCCGCUUCAAUGUCAGAAAGUAGCUUAUAAGCAAUUGAUUUGUCCUUAUCUUUUGUCUCCCUCAUUUUUUCUUCCAAUGAUGCUGAGGUAUCCUUUAGAGGAAAUUCUUGUGAAGCUGCCUCCCGAGCCUUGUCUCCUCGAGUUUGCCUCUUAGAAAAAUUUCCUUCUCUCGUAUCAUCAAAAUUUCCUCAUCUCUUUUCUUACAUCAAAGCUUCAUGUUGGCUCUUAGCAAUAUAUGCAUGAACUAAAAGAGACUCAACAAGAUCCUCCCAACCUGUUGCACCUCGUAUUGUAGCUGCAGUCCUCAAUAACACUUCUCGAGAUAAUUUCUCUUCUUGCAUUAUAGAAAUGGCAGAAGCCCAAAACUCACUAGUUU